UUCCGGUUGAUCCCGCCGGACCUGACUGCUAUCGGAUUGAUACUAAGUCAUGCGAGUUAUUGUAGCAAUACAAGGCAUACGGCUCAGUAACGCGUAGUCAACCUAACCUAUGGACGGGAAUAACCUCGGGAAACUGAGAAUAAUGCCCGAUAGAACAUUAUGCCUGGAAUGGUUUAUGUUCCAAAUGAUUUAUCGCCGUAGGAUGGGACUGCGGCCUAUCAGUUUGUUGGUGAGGUAAUGGCCCACCAAGACUAUUACAGGUACGGGCUCUGAGAGGAGUAGCCCGGAGAUGGGUACUGAGACACGGACCCAGGCCCUAUGGGGCGCAGCAGGCGAGAAAACUUUGCAAUGUGCGAAAGCACGACAAGGUUAAUCCGAGUGGUUUCUGCUAAAGGAACCUUUUGUCAGUCCUAGAAACACUGAUGAAUAAGGGGUGGGCAAGUUCUGGUGUCAGCCGCCGCGGUAAAACCAGCACCUCAAGUGGUCAGGAUGAUUAUUGGGCCUAAAGCAUCCGUAGCCGGCUCUGUAAGGUUUCGGUUAAAUCUGUACGCUCAACGUACAGGCUGCCGGGAAUACUGCAAAGCUAGGGAGUGGGAGAGGUAGACGGUACUCGGUAGGAAGGGGUAAAAUCCUUUGAUCUAUUGAUGACCACCUGUGGCGAAAGCGGUCUACCAGAACACGUCCGACGGUGAGGGAUGAAAGCUGGGGGAGCAAACCGGAUUAGAUACCCGGGUAGUCCUAGCUGUAAACCAUGCAAACUC
rnacentral:rRNA from 2 species